rnacentral:lncRNA from 1 species
UGGUGAGAUCUUAAAUUGUCGAAUAAUCCUUUAUAUAUAAGUUUCGGGGUUUAGUGUGUAGCAGUGCUACCCUCAAGGUAUGAUACACUAGAUUUAUUUUCCUUUCUUACUUUUAGGGCUGCUACCCUCAAGGAACGGUACACCCGAAAAUCUAAUUACUCUCUUGGAACUAAGUGUUCCAAUUCAUCUUGAUUCUUACUACGUGCUAAUUUACUUCAAUGAUCCAUUUCAUUGCAUGUUAAUCACCGAAAGGGCGAGGCCUUCCUAAAUUCACAACAACAAAGUCAAAACAACAGUGAUCCAAUGAGGAUGACGAUCUGGUCGUCAUGGUCAUAACGGUUGUCAUCCUGUGACGCUCACAAGGAGGGUCACCCAUCAGCAUACACUAACGAUCUGGUCGUCUGGGAGAGCACCUAUCAGCUAUCGCCGACGGUCGUCACAAGCAACGACGCCUAUCUUUUGUGCGGUAGGCGAUGACUAUCGGUCCGUCAUCGUGUCCAAAACACGUUUUCUUUUGCAGAAAUGCAACACACACCCCAAAAAUUCCAAACUUACACCUCUUUGCAACACAUGUAGUUUAUAACGGCAUCCAAACAUGGCACACGCAAGAAAUUUCAUGGUAAUGCGCAAAUAUACUAUAAAUUAACAUAAAACUUUACUCUAAAAAGUAAUCAAACAUGCAUUUUCAAAGAAACUCUCAUGAAAAUCCCAUUUUUCAAAAUAUGCAAAUAACCCCAAAUUUCAGUAUUGAAACUCUCUAACUAUUAUAAACUCACCUUUAUAUCAAGAAAGUAAAAAUUGAGAGUAGAAAAAAAUGAGUAGCACUUCAAAGCUCCCUACCAAGACUUCAAAAAUUCCACACUCAAGCCUUACUUUUCCUUUUUUUCCUUCUUCUUCCCAUCCUUUCCCGUCCUCCCUCUUUUUCUCUCUCAAAUCUCUUACUUUGAGUUUUGAUUCGGAAAACACAAGGAGUGAGAGAAGUAAGGUGGAAUACUAGAAAAAGACUCAUCAUGGGAGAUGAUUAAUUCGACAUACAGUCAUGUGUAAUUUACUUAGUUUGUCAUUAAUUCCAUCCUAACUACUCCCUUGGGAUCUCUAGCUUACUAGUAAG